UCCACCUCCACCACCUGUCACUCUACGGGGGGCUGCGACUUGAGGACACUCACCAGUUCUGAGCUCGGUUGCGGACUGGAUGGUGAAGCCCGCGGCAGGAGGAGGUGGAGGUACAGACUUGGAGCCUCGGGACGGACCUGACAGGCUUCUGUAAUUUCCCUGAACUGGAUUAAGCUGAGAUAAAGAGGGAAGGAUCCCAAAUCAUCUGUUGAAAUCUUCUUUAAAGGGCAAAAGGAAGAGACAAAAGCAAACCA